AGCGGGCAAGAUGAGGAUCAUGAUCAAGGGCGGGGUGUGGAAGAACACCGAGGACGAGAUCCUCAAGGCCGCCGUGAUGAAGUACGGCAAGAACCAGUGGGCGCGCAUCUCCUCGCUGCUCGUCCGCAAGUCCGCCAAGCAGUGCAAGGCCCGCUGGUACGAGUGGCUCGACCCCUCCAUCAAGAAGACUGAGUGGACAAGGGAAGAGGAUGAGAAGCUGCUCCAUCUUGCUAAGCUGAUGCCUACUCAAUGGAGGACUAUUGCACCUAUUGUGGGUCGAACACCAUCCCAGUGUCUCGAGCGUUAUGAAAAAUUGCUUGAUGCUGCCUGUGCAAAGGAUGAGAAUUAUGAGCCUAAUGAUGACCCAAGAAAGUUGCGACCUGGGGAGAUUGAUCCAAACCCCGAGUCAAAACCUGCACGUCCAGAUCCUGUUGACAUGGACGAAGAUGAAAAGGAAAUGCUUUCUGAGGCAAGGGCUCGCUUAGCUAACACCAGGGGUAAAAAGGCAAAACGGAAGGCAAGAGAGAAACAGCUUGAAGAGGCGAGGCGGCUUGCAUCACUGCAAAAAAGGAGAGAACUGAAGGCAGCUGGUAUUGACAACCGGCACAAAAAAAGAAAGAGAAAGGGAAUUGACUAUAAUGCCGAGAUCCCUUUUGAAAAGAGACCCCCUCCAGGCUUUUAUGAUACAGUGGGUGAGGACAGGCCACUUGAGCAUGUGCAGUUUCCAACUACGAUUGAGGAGCUUGAAGGGAGGAGAAGAGUGGAUGUAGAGGCUCAAUUGAGAAAGCAAGACAUUGCCAAGAACAAGAUUCUGCAGAGGCAGGAUGCUCCUGCCGCAAUAAUGCAAGCAAAUAAACUCAAUGACCCAGAAGCUGUCACGAGAAGGUCCAAACUAAUGCUUCCACCACCCCAAAUUUCUGAUCAUGAAUUGGAGGAGAUUGCAAAGAUGGGCAAUGCUGGUGAUCCUGCUCUAGCCGAGGAGCUUGGUGAAGGAAGUACUGCCACCAGGACACUGCUUGCAAAUUAUUCCCAGACUCCAAGGCUUGGUAUGACACCAUUGCGAACGCCGCAACGAACGCCAGGUGGGAAAGGUGACGCUAUUAUGAUGGAGGCAGAGAAUCUUGCACGUUUAAGGGAAUCACAAACACCUCUUUUAGGAGGUGAUAACCCAGAGCUUCACCCAUCAGAUUUCUCAGGCGUUACACCACGUAAGAAAGAGAUACAGACUCCGAAUCCCAUGGCAACGCCUCUGGCUAGCCCUGGCCCUGGUGUUACCCCAAGGAUUGGUUUGACACCGUCCAGAGAUGGAAAUUCCUUUGGGUUAACUCCAAAAGGAACCCCUUUCAGGGAUGAGCUUCACAUAAAUGAAGAGGUGGAAAUGCAGGACAGCGCUCAGCUUGAGCUUCGUAGGCAAGCAGAGUUAAGAAGAGGUCUGCGGUCUGGUUUUGCUUCUAUUCCACAGCCUAAGAAUGAGUACCAGAUAGUUAUGCCACCUAUCACAGAGGAGAAGGAAGAAGCUGAAGAGAGAAUUGAAGAGGAUAUGUCAGACAGGUUAGCACGAGAAAGGGCUGAGGAACAAGCAAGGCAGGAGGCAUUGCUCAGAAAGAGGUCCAAAGUGUUGCAGAGGAGUUUGCCUAGGCCACCUGCUGCUUCAGUGGAGAUUCUCCGGCAAUCUCUUAUUAAAGGUGGUGAAAGCAGAAGUACCUUUGUGCCUCCUACAUCACUUGAACAAGCUGACGAGCUAAUAAAUGAGGAACUCCUUAGGCUCCUUGAGCAUGAUAAUGCUAAAUAUCCUCUUGAUGAACAAACUCAAAGAGAGAAAAAGAAAGGGAGCAAGCGUCAGACAAAUGGGCCAGCUUUCGUCCCUGAAAUCGAAGGUUUUGAUGAGCAUGAGCUAAAAGAGGCAAGUUCUAUGGUUGAGGAGGAGAUUCAGUAUCUUCGUGUGGCCAUGGGCCAUGAAAAUGAAUCUUUUGAGGAUUUUGUAAAGUCACAUGAUGCAUGCCAAGAGGACCUUAUGUUUUUCCCUGCUAACAACAGCUAUGGCCUUGCUAGUGUUGCUGGAAAUGCUGAUAAAAUUUCUGCUUUGCAACAUGAGUUUGAAAUGGUAAAGAAGAGAAUGGACGAUGAGGCAAAGAAAGCCUCUCGGCUUGAGCAGAAGAUCAAACUGCUGACACAAGGAUACCAGGCACGAGCUGCAAAAUUGGGGUCACAGAUCCAGGACACCUUCAAGCAGAUGAACACUGCAGCCACAGAACUUGAAUGCUUCCAAGAGUUGCAGAAACAAGAACAGAUGGCUGGUGCCUAUCGUGUGAGAAAUUUGUCUGAAGAAGUGAAUAAACAGAAAGCACUAGAACAGACUCUCCAGAGCCGCUAUGGUGAUCUGUUGUCUGGUUACCAGAGCAUCCAUGAACAACUUGAGGAGCACAAGAGGCUACUUAAGCUACAGGAGGAGGCAAUAGAGGCAGAAAAGCGUGCUAAGGAGGAGGCAAUAGAGGCAGAAAACCGUGCUAAGGAGGCGGCAUUAGAGGCAGAAAACCGUGCUAAGGAGGAGGCAAUAGAGGCAGAAAACCGUGCUAAGGAGGCAUUAGAGGCAGAAACCCGUGCUAAGGAGGAGGAAGCUGCAACUCGAAAUCGUGCUGCUGAGGAAGAAAAUGAGAGGAAGAAUCAUGACAUUGAAGAGGAAUCAGGAAAGAUGACUACAAUUACCGAUGAAGAAGCUGCAGGAAGCAAAGGGGAUCAGAUGGAUAUGGACAAUGCUGAUGUAGCUGGAGAACUGGUAGGUCCAAUUCCUCCAUUGCCUGACACUCAAGUGGAUAACGAUGGGGCUUCAAUUGAACAGAGUACUUCUAAUGCUCAGAGUGGUGACACCGUUACUGUGAAUGAGGGAGCCAUUGACAAGGUCAAUUCAUCCAAAUUAGAUGGUCAGGACAAUACCAGUUGUAGCAUGGAUAUUGAUGCUGGUAGCCAGGAAGAGGGAAAAAAUGUUCUCGCGGCUGCUGCUACAAGUGUAGAUGUAGGGAACACACCUGUAUCUUCAGAUCAAGCUGUCUCGAAUGAAGGGAGUGAUGCGGUUCACGCACCUGUAUCUUCAGAUCAAGCUGUCUCGAAUGAAGGGAGUGACGCGGUUCACGCACCUGUAUCUUUGGAUCAAGCUGCGCCAAAUGAAGAGAGCGGCGCGGUUCCUGAAUAAAACAUCUUCCGCAUACCUCAUAUGCAGCGGAUGUCACUAGCAUGAUGCCAAAGGUGACUACUGAACACUAGCUCGCGUGCCAUGUUUGUUUUGUUAAUUUUCGUUUUGACUCUCUGCUGGUCUGAACAUUUGUGGAAGUAAAACCUGAUAUUUACAGUUUUCUAUUGAAAAUAUGAACUUGAGGAAACAGGUCAUCCCGCUAACGCUGCUUUUGACCUUUUUUUUAUGGGCCGCGCUUUGGGUCUGGGUUUCGAAGAAGCACCCAUGUUUGACCUGAUCAUGUGGGGCAAAAUAUCACCGUCUUUUGUGGCUGUGGCUGCAGCUGGUGUUUGUGUGAUGUGGGAUUAUAACUGCUGCUGUUGCACUGCUGGUGCUGUUCAUGUUGCUAGUGCUACUUGCGUAUGAUUUUCAAGAUGUGGCGCUUUAGCUUUGCUCAUGUUGGUCAUGUCUGUUAGCCUCACUGGUUUGAGGAGGUUUUAAGAAUAAAAAACUGCUCCUUGUGUGUGAUUCAGAUGAGCAAAAUAUAUCAUUGCUUGUUCAAAGAUGCGAUCCAGAAAACAAC
rnacentral:rRNA from 1 species